UAGUUAUUUAGUGUUUUGUCU
rnacentral:piRNA from 1 species